CAGCAGCCGCGGUAAUACGAAGGGUGCAAGCGUUACUCGGAAUUACUGGGCGUAAAGCGUGCGUAGGUGGUGGUUUAAGUCCGUUGUGAAAGCCCUGGGCUCAACCUGGGAAUUGCAGUGGAUACUGGGUCACUAGAGUGUGGUAGAGGAUAGUGGAAUUUCCGGUGUAGCAGUGAAAUGCGUAGAGAUCGGAAGGAACAUCUGUGGCGAGGGCGACUAUCUGGGCCAACACUGACACUGAGGCACGAAAGCGUGGGGAGCAAACAGGAUUAGAGACCCCUGUAGUCCCUGUCUCUUAUAC
rnacentral:rRNA from 1 species